GGCAGCAGUGGGGAAUUUUCUGCAAUGGGCGAAAGCCUGACAGAGCAAUACCGCGUGAGGGAUGAAGACUUACUGAGUUGUAAACCUCGGUACCUUAAGGAAGAAGAUCUGACGGUACUUAAGGUGGAAAGCAUCGGCUAACUCCGUGCCAGCAGCCGCGGUAAGACGGGGGAUGCAAGUGUUAUCCGGAUUUACUGGGCGUAAAGCGUCUGCAGGUGGUUUCUUAAGUCUACUGUUAAAUCUUGAGGCUCAACCUCAAAUCUGCAGUAGAAACUAGGAGACUUGAGUAUAGUAGGGGUAGAGGGAAUUUCCAGUGGAGCGGUGAAAUGCGUAGAUAUUGGAAAGAACACCGAUGGCGAAGGCACUCUACUGGGCUAUUACUGACACUCAGAGACGAAAGCUAGGGGAGCAAAUGGGAUUAGAUACCCCWGUAGU
rnacentral:rRNA from 1 species